rnacentral:rRNA from 1 species
CGGGGCGAAGAAGUAAAGGUGGCCUCUUCAUGAAAGCUACCGUGUAGGGAUGAGCCUGCGUACCAUUAGCUAGUAGGCGGGGUAACGGCCCACCUAGGCGACGAUGGUUAGCGGGUCUGAGAGGAUGAUCCGCCACACUGGAACUGGAACACGGACCAGACUCCUACGGGAGGCAGCAGUGAGGAAUAUUGCGCAAUGGGGGAAACCCUGACGCAGCGACGCCGCGUGAGUGAGGAAGGUUUUCGGAUCGUAAAGCUCUGUCAGAAGGGAAGAAGUGUUAGAUGGUUAAUACCCAUGUAAUUUGACGGUACCUUCAGAGGAAGCACCGGCUAACUCCGUGCCAGCAGCCGCGGUAAUACGGAGGGUGCGAGCGUUGUUCGGAAUUACUGGGCGUAAAGGGCGCGUAGGCGGCCUGAUAAGUCAGAUGUGAAAGUCCACGGCUCAACCGUGGAAGUGCAUUUGAAACUGUCAGGCUUGAGUAUCGGAGGGGAGUGUGGAAUUCCCGGUGUAGAGGUGAAAUUCGUAGAGAUCGGGAGGAACACCGGCGGCGAAGGCGACACUCUGGACGAAUACUGACGCUGAGGCGCGAAAGCGUGGGGAGCAAACAGGAUUAGAUACCCUGGUAGUCCACGCCGUAAACGAUGUGAACUAGGGAUAGGGGGGUGUUGAUCCCUCCUGUCCCGGAGCUAACGCAUUAAGUUCACCGCCUGGGGAGUACGGUCGCAAGAUUAAAACUCAAAGGAAUUGACGGGGGCCCGCACAAGCGGUGGAGUAUGUGGUUUAAUUCGACGCAACGCGAA